rnacentral:lncRNA from 1 species
CUCCAGUUGUAUGUAGCUGUAGUACAAAAAGAGAUCUUCAGACUUCAGAGGAUUACUUUGAUUUUUCACUUGAAAAUGUUGUCUGUCACUUUAGUGUGGUGAUCUCUCCAAAUACUCCAAGACAGAGAGGAGAAAUUCAAAGCAAACUCUGGAUGCAUUCAGUAGUCUCCUGGAGUUUCUUAGUAUCUCCAGCAGCUGAAGGAGCUGCCAGCCAGUAAAUGGUAAACGCAGGCAUUUUUCUUAUACCUUCAAAUUAAACUGUGUCCCCAGAGACUCACCUUCAGAGCUGAAUCUGAGCUUUAGAAUUAUGUUUGACCUUUUGUAGUGGCUUGUAUGUUCAAGCCUGGAUCCAGACCAGAACCCUACUUCUGAUCGGUACUUCAAGUUUGUGUGAUACAAGGUGUGGCGUAGACUGAUGGCAAGGAAAAGAGAAACUGGAUGCUUCAGCACUAAGAAAUGGUGCUGAAGGAUUUUUUCAGCCUUUUUGAAAUAUAAGCAGGCAAAGAAACACCUAUCUUGAGCUGGAUAUGAUUAGGUAAUGACUAUAUCUUAUGCUAGAUGCAGUAAUGCUGAAAUGCUUGUCUCUGCUUAAGCUGUUAUGAUUCCUACUCUCCAUUAAUGGCAGUAGCUAUUAUUUGUCCUCAAGAACACAACUUUUCUUCCAUUAUAUAUGUUUGUUUCUUUUUCUUCCUGCCUGGGGAAGCUGUGGUGCUCGAAGGAGAUGAUGGCUCAUCUCUACAGAUGAUAGCAGCCCAGAUUCCAGUCUCUGAAUCUCUCUGCCCUUCAUAUAUUGCAGGAAAGCAUGCAACUUUGAAGACAAAGCAUGUGAAGCAGAGUUUUAUUACAGGUUUCAGUUGUUUGACUGGAUCCAUCCCUAAUGCUAAAAAGCAGCUCUGCGCGUGGAAUGGUCAGUGA